UGUCAUUGAUAACUAUUUGAUACCAUCUCGUCAAUCAAAUCAAAGGCUUCCUCCUCAAUUUUUUGAUUAACGAUACCUUCUGCAGCUGCAUCAAUUACAGAAUGAUUAGUAGGAGAUAAACCAUUAUAAAAAGUUUGUACCUAAAGCCAAAUGGAUAAUUGAUGAUGCAGACAUCUCCUUAGUAGCUUGUUAAAAUGUUCCCAAGCCU
rnacentral:lncRNA from 1 species